ACUAUAAUUUUGCAACAUGUUUAUGCAUAUACAUGUUGUACUCUUUGCAUAAAUGGUGUUUUGCGCAGUAGGUAUAUGUACCUUAGGUUUUUUUGUUUGUAACUUUUGCUGCUGAAGACAUGUGUCUCUGAGGUGUACGUGUCCCAAAUCAUACAUACAUAUCUUCUUUCUUCUCCUCCUGGUUACCACAAUUCCACCACCAUAAUCAGAUGGCAAAGAAACCGGCAGCGAAGUAGGGAAGAAACCGACGUGCAUACCUGGUUGUUUAAUUUCAGUUCUCUUGCAAAUACCUGGAUAACCCACCAAGAAACCAGGUUUAGGUUUGCGCUUUUAAGUUCGAAAUUCACCUUUAGAUGUUUAGUAAUUAGGGUUUUGAUGCUAAUGUCGAUGGUUUUUUGUGGUGAUGCCAUUGUUACGUAUCAUUUUUGUAGUGUUUGCUGUUGAUGUUUAUUUUCUCGAACAAUAUUUAAACUUUGUCGCACAGGGUAUUUGAGCAUCUUGCCGCCUCCGACGAUGGCCGUUAGGGUUCCGGCAACAUUCUGGUCAAUCUCCAAAUGGCUGACUUCACUGCAGGUACUUUUCGAAGCCGCCCUUCGAGCAACCAAGUCGGGCGAUUCCAACGGUGGUUUUGAGUUCACGGACAAGCUCGGUUCAUCUGACGAAGAGACACGACAAAUCAGGAAGAGGCUACCCGCUUCGAUAUCAAAUUGUUCAGCUUAAUACAAAACCUAGCUUCCGCAUUGGGUAGGUAGUGGAAAAGAAGCUAAGAAAUCAGUGUACUCGAUAUCUGCAAAGUAUUAAUAUGCUUUCAGUUGCAAGAUCCAUGGAAAUGUGAUUCAUAGACGCAAAUCCAUGUCCAAUGUUAGAUCGAUUUUGGCGGAUUCUCAUAUUUCUUUUGGCAACAAUGAUUACAGAGGUAUGUGUUCAUUAUGCUUUAACCUUCAUCAAGGUUGUUAUUUAUCGUGCUUUAAGUUCUCUUCUUUAAUAGGACUGUUAACUCAUGAUUUUUUAAAGAAGGUAGCCACUAUUUGCUAUAUACAAGUCAUUUUUUAAAGUUUAAUAACUUUUGGAACAACAUAUUUUUAUGCGCGGCCAUUCAGUCCACAGAUUUGUCAAAAGCCGAACCAAGAUUGAAUGCGUUUGAUGCAAAAAGAGUUUAUAAAGAAAAUAAAAAAUGUAAUGUUUGACUUUUGUGGGUCAAAAUUUACACAAUGUUUGUUUAAUCUAAAUAUAUUUCAUGAAUUUGUUAUUUAUAGCUUUCAUAUAAGAUUAGAGCUAAAAUAUUGUUGGUAACCGGGGUUGUAUCAAUAUUAAAUAUUACCUAGCCUGACCCGUUUCGACCUCUAUAGACUUUUUUUUAGACUGAUCAAUGACAUAUAUGCAUAAGGUGUGAAUUUCUGAUGCUACAUAAAGAAUGGUUACGAACCUAACACGAAAUUCACGGGUUUAGGUCAACCUGACAAGUUUGUGGGUUCACCCGUUUUACAUUUUAUACUUUAAGCGUAAUUAUAUUUUAAACAUUUCUAUUCUUUCUUAAAUUUGUAAUCUAAGAGUAUUAAUGUGCAACCACUAACUUUGCCUUUUCUUUUAAACAAAAAAAAUGCAGAUAUGUUUUAUUGCUAUCAUACACAAUGUUUAGGUCUAUAAAAUAGUUAUUGAAUUAAUAAAGAGUUAAUAUAAUUGUCUGAAAUAGUGCAGACACCAUAUAGAUAACUAUCAUAUAUGUAACACCAUCUACAAGAUAAAACUAUGUUCAACUUAUGACGCAAUAAGUUUAGAUUUCGACUCAAUGGCUAUAAAAAAAUCAUAGGAUUAAGAUUAAAAGCAUGGGUCCAUGGCCAUAAAAAAAUCAUAGGAUUAAGAUUAAAAGCAUGGGCGUAGGAUCAUAGGGUGGGGAGGGGGCGGCCGACCCCGAAAUUUUCGUUCAAUAGUGGGGAGUAUGUAGUUUUUGUAUAGAAAUUUUUGGGUAUAUACAUUUUUGACCCCCUGGUUUUAUAGAAAUAUUUUGGUAUAUACGUUUUCGACACAUCCGGUCGGAAAUCUCAAACUUCGCCAAUAUGUGAAUUGGUAAUUUUACUUGGGUUCUCUUCUUUCAAUUUAUGGGGUCCCUAAAGUUUCAAGCUUUCGUGGCUUUACUUUUUUCAAUUUUCUUAAUUGUUUAGCAAUUAUAUUUUUAUAGUAUAUCAUUCGUUUUAUGAAAUCAAAGCAGAGUAUACAUGUAGUAAUACUUCAUUGUUACGUUGAUCAAAUCCAGUUGUGUGUUAUUCUUGGUUUUAAAAAGUGCGAAGCGCACAAAAGCAACGAGGUCUAAAACUGAGGCGCAAAGCGCAAAAGCGGUGGGCUUUUUGUACGCGAGGUGCAAGGCGAUUAUAUAAUUUUUUUAUAUAUUCUAUAGGUUUCUAGGAACAUUUACCCAAUAUUUAGACACAAAUAAGCUCUAUAUAUGUUUUAUUAUUGAAUUUACAUACAUGUAUAACCUGAAAAACAUGAUGUACCACAAUCUGCUACACAAAUACAUGGUCUGUGCAUAAGGCGCGCGCCUCAGAUUGGAUUUUUAACCCAAAAAGCGCGCCUCAGCUGUGCUUUCUGUACAGCUUGCGCCUUAGGUUACAUAAGGCGCCGAGGUUUCACCUCGGUGCGUCUCACGCCGAGGCGCGCCUCAAGCGUGCUUUUUUAAACCAAGGCUAUUUAUAUGUAAUAUUACCGAUGUGGUUGGAAGCCCUUACUAUGUUACACCAGAGGUUUUAUGCAAUGGUCGAUAUCUAAUCUGUUGUGUGAAUCUGUCAAAGCUAACGACGGUUCCUACCGGUGACGCAUCGAUUCAUCCAGGUCCGGCGUGUAUCCCUGACCAUCCCGUACCGGCUACAAUCCAUUUAUAAGUAAAUGGGUCAAAAAAAUUAGUUUUAGCGUUGGCUGAAUCUCUUUGGUAACAUCUUUAAGAUAUAAUUAUUUUUAUAUUACACAUGAAAGGAUUCAAGGCAAAAAAAGGUUAUUAAAAAUAAUGUACCUCCAUACUGAGAUUGUUUUUGUAUUCAUAUUUUCUGCAGAUUUGCAAGGCACAUACAUAAUUGCCAUGUAAGAUUUUUUUAAACCUAAAACCCUUUUUUAUUUACUACAUGAUUGAAGUUUUAACACAUACAUAAUGCAUAGCUCUUAGAUAGCAUCAUGAUUAUGAUAGUGGGAUCAAUUACAUGUCUUUUAACAGUUCAAAAUGAUACAUGUGCUUGUCGUUAUGUAUGUGACUGAAUUUUUCGAACAUCAGUGUCAAUAAGACUAGAUUUGAUUUCUAAUCAAUUUUUUAUGUUCCUUCUAAUGAAGGCAUUGGUGACAACUUGAUAAGGAAAAUAAAUCUAGAUUCUAGACCGAAGAGGAAUUCAUUUGGAUUUUAUAAAAUCUCAACACUUCAACUGGAUGGCAAUUUGGUAUCAAUCAUGGGAUGGUUGCUUUGUUUUUUACACAUUAACUUACUUUCAGCACUUAC